rnacentral:rRNA from 1 species
AGUGAACGCUGGCGGUAGGCCUAACACAUGCAAGUCGAACGGCAGCACAGUAAGAGCUUGCUCUUACGGGUGGCGAGUGGCGGACGGGUGAGGAAUACAUCGGAAUCUACUUUUUCGUGGGGGAUAACGUAGGGAAACUUACGCUAAUACCGCAUACGACCUACGGGUGAAAGCAGGGGAUCUUCGGACCUUUCGCGAUUGAUUGAGCCUAUGUCGGAUUAGCUAGUUGGCGGGGUAAAGGCCCACCAAGGCGACGAUCCGUAGCUGGUCUGAGAGGAUGAUCAGCCACACUGGAACUGAGACACGGUCCAGACUCCUACGGGAGGCAGCAGUGGGGAAUAUUGGACAAUGGGCGCAAGCCUGAUCCAGCCAUACCGCGUGGGUGAAGAAGGCCUUCGGGUUGUAAAGCCCUUUUGUUGGGAAAGAAAAGCAGCAGGUUAAUACCCCGCUGUUCUGACGGUACCCAAAGAAUAAGCACCGGCUAACUUCGUG